rnacentral:misc_RNA from 1 species
GUAAGAAGCUCACUAAAUGUAUAUCAAGUUUCUAUACUACUAAUAAUUCUCGUGGACAACCUGAUAUAUUUAUGAGGAGGAUAACUUGGAGCUCCAUACACUGCAUUUAGUCUUUUAUUUUAUACAUGAAGAUUGUGAUUAACACUACACAAGACCCUAAAGUAUUUGUUUUGUUACACAACCACCACAGCCUUGUAAUAUAUAGAUACUGAGUGCAGAAAUCAAAUAAAUACACAAACAAAUGAGUUUCUUUUCUUUUCCUUUCCUCCUGGAGUUGAAGAAACAGAUCACAUAUUUGUAAUCUUAUUCACUAGGACAACACAACAAAUCAAAUGCCAAGUAGAAACAAUUUAAGCUUUAGUCUUUGGCUUCUUCACAAUCAUCACACUGCAGUGGGCAUGAUGAGCACAGUAGUCACUUACACUACCCAAAACAGUCCUCUUUAUAACUCCAUAACCAUGACAACCAACAACUAAAACAGAGGCAUGAAGUUUCUCUACAGCUUCACAAAGGACAUGCCUAGCAUCACCUUCCACUAUCUCAACUACAACAUCAUUCACAGAUUUUUCUUUGCAUAUCUCCUUAGCUUUUUCCACAACCCUUGCAGCAAUUUUCUUUAAAUUAGACUCUAUGGCUGAAAAAGCUUCCACACUCCCAGGACCAACAGCAAGACCAAUGACAGAAGCAGGAGUAGGUUUAGCAUGAAGAAUAACAAGUUUAAAAGGAGAAUUAGAAUUAUAAUUUGUAAAAAAAUGAUCCAAAGUCCAUUCUAAUGCAUAAAAACUAUGUUGAUUAUCUUCUAAUCCAACUACCAUCACAGAUUUUUCCUCUCCCAUUUUUUGCUAAUCAAUAAUUUGAAUUCAAUUUUUUUGUGUGUGAAAUGAAAUAAAAUAUUUGAUGAAAAAAGCAAAGUAGAAG